UAACUGACAGCGUGAAGGCAAUGGAAGACUGAGAAGGGGUUAUGUGGAAUCUUCUGAUAUCUAGGAGCAGCCCACAACCCACAGAAAAUGGCCACAGGAUUUUACAUGAAAACUUGUGGAUGCCAAAAUGGCUCAAAUCAUGUCAAAGAGUUCAUGUCAAAAGCAGGAGGAUUUGGAUGAGCAAUAAUCAGCUCAUCUCAUGGGCAGUAAGAGUUCUCAUACUACUAAAAUUCAGUACUCAAUUGCUCUGAGUAAAAAAAAUGCUGAGCUCAAUAUUUUUGCUAAUGAUCACCACACACCUUCUACAAGGCUAUUUCUUUUUUGUUCCUCUACACCUCUUCAUUGUAUAGCUUUUUAAAACAGUGUUUAAGGAUUCACAGCAUUGCCUUGAGAUGUCUUUGUCUUGAGAGCUUUUCUUCUCGUAUCCACAGGCAGACCAAACAUAUCUACUUCGACAUAAGUUCCAACUUUUUUGUCAGAAAGUAACUGCCCAGAAAUGACCUAAAAAGGAAAGUUUGAGACAUUCUAUUAACAUACCUUUGCUUCAAUUCAUUUCACAUUGGCUAAAGGGCUUGUUUUCUUAAUAUGUAAAGCUUAUAACAAGAGAAAAUGGUUGGGAGAGUCUACCAUAAGUCCUUCACCACAGACUGAUCACUCUGUAAUUGUCUUGGAAGGAGUACCUAUCCCAGGCACCUGUUGGACCCAGCUUUGUUUCAGAAGGAGCUUGGGCUCAUUCUUGAAGAUAAUAAUGUCUCCCUACCCUUCUGUAUUUCUUGACUACUGGUUCCUUUACUGCUGAUGGUUGAUUCUAAAAGGCAGAAGCUAUUCACCAUUUUGAUAUGUUCAUUAUCGAUUCUAAGGCUAGUUAUUUUACCUUUGCCAUCAGUUUGAUCUUCUUUAUAUAGUUAAUUAAGCUUGUUUUCUUGUCCAAACAUGUGUAUCAUCUCCCUUUCUUCAAUUUUGGGCAUAAUUUCUAUUUUCCUGGUUAUAAAUAUCUGAAUGUGACUUGUUCAAUAUGCUUAUAACAUAUGCUGAUAACAAGUACCUUGCAUAUAUGAGAUUCACACUUGUUAAAAAUAUUGGGAAUGAGUACAUGUGAACUUAUUUUGGUCUUUCAGGUUCAUUAUGCUGAUAGAAUUUAGCAGAUGAGCAACUGGAUACCUACCUUAACAGACAAAGUGUUUGCGACUAUUCCAUCUACAAUACUUUCCGUAAAUGGAUCGAAAUGUUUGUCUGGUCUUCUCAUGAACUCUGGUUUUAGUCUGUAUCCACUUUUGCCAUUAUACUCAUACAUCCCCAUAUUUAUUUGCAUAGACAAAUCUAUAUGAAAAAAAUAAUUGUGUUAUGGGAUACUAUACAAAUAUAUGUUAAUGGGACAAUAGAGAAAGCCUAACAAAUUGACAAAAGUACAACACUGAAAUUUUAUUAAAGGCUUCCUGGCCUCUUUAAAAAUUCG